rnacentral:lncRNA from 1 species
CCCAACCUUUUGUAAGAUCUCAAAUGGGCCAAUAAAUCUUGGGGCUAACUUUCCCCUUUGACCAAACCUCAUAACUCCCUUGGUUGGCGACACCUUUAAGAAGACGUGCUCACCAACUUCGAACUCUAGAUCUCUUCGCCUUCGAUCUGCAUAACUUUUCUGACGACUUUGAGCUGUUAAUAAUCUUUGGCGUAUAAUUCGAAUAUUAUCAACAUCUUUUUGAAUUAAUUGAGGCCCCAAAAGCUUCCGUUCUCC